UACGGAGGAUGCGAGCGUUAUCCGGAUUCAUUGGGUUUAAAGGGUGCGCAGGCGGGCCUUUAAGCCGGCGGUGAAAUCGCGGGGCUCAACCCCGUCCGGCCGUUGAAACUGGGGGCCUUGAGUGGGCGAGAAGAAGGCGGAAUGCGUGGUGUAGCGGUGAAAUGCAUAGAUAUCACGCAGAACCCCGAUUGCGAAGGCAGCCUUCCGGCGCCCUACUGACGCUGAGGCACGAGAGUGCGGGGAUCGAACAGG
rnacentral:rRNA from 1 species